GAUGAACGCUGACAGAAUGCUUAACACAUGCAAGUCUACUUGAUUCUACUUCGGUAGUUGAUGGUGGCGGACGGGUGAGUAACGCGUAAAGAAUCUGCCCUUUAGUUUGGGAUAACCUUUGGAAACGAAGCCUAAUACCGGAUAUUAUGGAGACGUCGCAUGACGACCCCCUGAAAGCUAUAUGCGCUAGAGGAGGACUUUGCGUCCCGUUAGUUAGUUGGUGAGGUAAUGGCUCACCAAGACCUCGAUGGGUAGCCGGCCUGAGAGGGUGAUCGGACAAAAGGGAACUGAGACACGGUCCUUACUCCUACGGGAGGCAGCAGUGGGGAAUAUUGGAAAAUGGGCCACAAGCCUGAUCCAGCAAUUCUGUAUGCACGAUGAAGGUCUUCGGAUUGUAAAGUGUUUUCAGUAGGGAAGAAAAAAAUGACGGUACCUACAGAAGAAGCGACGGCUAAAUAUGUGCCAGCAGCCGCCGUAA
rnacentral:rRNA from 1 species